AAGACUAUUACAGAUCUUAAACUUCCAACUACUGCGAAAGACCUAAAGAGGUUCCUCGAUAUGUUAAAUCUUUAUAGACCUUUUUUGAAAAACCCUCUUCUACAUCAAGCACCAUUAUUCAACAUGACUCCGGGUAACAAGCGCAAUGAUCACUCACCUCUCAUAUGGACCAAAGAAAAUAUAAAACAUUACGAAGCCUGUAAGGAGGACCUCGCUAAAUGUUUCCGCUGCUAGCACAUCCCACUUUCAUUGUGGAUUGACGCAUCCGACUAUGCAGCCGGUGCAGCACUACAACAAGUAGUUAACAACACGCUCCAACCGCUGGGUUUCUUCCAGCGAAAAUUUACAAAAGCAGAACAGCAAUACAGUGCUUACGACAGGGAGCUCACAGCUAUGUAUCUCGCUAUCCGACAUUUCCGUUUUAUGCUUGAAGAACGAGAUUGCCACGUCUACACAGACCACUAACCUCUCACAUUCGCAUUUCAUCUAAGUCUAGAAAAAGCUUCGGACCGUCAAGCGCGACAACUAGACUUUAUCGCUGAAAUCACCACAGACAUCCGUCACGUGUCUGGUCAGCAAAAURUUGUUGGUCAAAUGUUGGUCUCGCAUUGAAGCAAUACUCUCGGAAACAACUUUUUAAUCAAUUAACUACGACGACUUAACCACAGAUCAAGCGACAGACGAAGAGGAUUGGAGAAUCCUAUCUUAAUGGGAAAGUGAAGCAUUCAUUGAAACUAAUUUCGUACGCUCUUCCUUCCAGCACAAAAAAGGUGUACUGUGAUAUUUCACCACCAAACGAUUCCGCCAAGAAGUACUUCGGACAAUCCACAACAUUUCGCACCCCGGUUCACGUACAACAUCAAAGAUGAUGAGCGAACGUUUCACCCGGCCCGGAAUCCAUCGCAAACAUUGCCCACGCUGUCAACGUAAUAAGGUCACCAGACACAACGUCACUCCUCUGCAACGCCGAACAUGCGUUAGCGAACGCUUCGCCCAUUUACACAUUGACAUCGUGAGACCGUUCUCGCUGUCCGAGGAUAAUCGCUACUGUUUAACAGURAUCGACCGUUUCACCCGGUGGCCAGAUGCUUUCCCGAUUCCAGACAUCACCGCACCAACAGUAGCUAAAGCAUUAAUUAGCGGCUGGAUAUCGAGGUUCGGAAUCCCCACCAACAUAACGUCAGACCUAGGGCGCCAAUUUGAAUGCACACUUUUUCAACAUUUAYUCCAAUGUAUCGGUGUUAAACACCUUCGAACUACGCCUUACCAUCCACAAAGCAACGGGAUCGUCGAACGUUGGCACAGAACUCUCAAGUCAGCCUUACUUUGUCAUGACAAGCAACAUUGGACAAAUUUCCUACCGAUAAUUCUUUUGGGACUCCGCUGCGCAUUCAAAUCGGAUAUAUUGGAGCAUCACCGGCCGAGCUAGGUUUUGGGACGACGCUACGCUUGCCAUCCGAAUCCAUCCAUUCAUCGACUCUCCUGUACCAGAUAAUGAGACUGAAGUUGUUGCUCAGUUGCGACAAAUAAUGCGCGACCUACGUCCGGUCAACACGUCUUGGCAUACCACUCAGAAAUCUUUUGUGCACACAGAUUUAAAAACGUGCGACCAGAUUUUCAUCCGCGACUUGUCGGUACGACCAUCAUUAUCAACUCCUAACAAAGGGCUUUACAAGGUUAUUCAUCGCUAUCAAAAAUACUUUACCGUCGACAUUAACGAUAAAGCAGUCAACAUUCCUAUCGACCGUUUGAAACCUGCUUACACCGUCGCAGAUCCCAACUAGGAGUUGAGUACUGUGGCAGCACCGCCACUCAUUUCGGAGAUCGCUCUCUUUCGUUUUGGAAAUUCGUCGUAGAAGGACGCGCCCACACGAACGCUCAACAUACAUGUUCAAUCUCCAUGAAAUAGUUAUAAAAAAAUGUUUAGUGGUCAAACAGUAUAUAUCCCUUGUGGGGAUCUUCUAUAUUUCCGUCAACAUUUCGGGCGUAUUUUUGAUGAAGGAAUGAAAAGAAUUAUACAUCACAUUAAUUUUUUUUUUUUUUAAUUUUAAGGGGUUAC